AGAGUUUGAUCAUGGCUCAGAAUGAACGCUGGCGGUAGGCUUAACACAUGCAAGUCGGACGGAAACGAUAGAGAAGCUUGCUUUUCUAGGCGUCGAGUGGCGGACGGGUGAGUAACGCGUGGGAAUCUACCCUAUAGUUGGGGACAACAUAUGGAAACGUAUGCUAAUACCGAAUAUGCUCUACGGAGUAAAGGAGCCCUCUUCUUGAAAGGUUUCGCUAUAGGAUGAGCCCGCGUGAGAUUAGCUAGUUGGUAAGGUAAUGGCUUACCAAGGCGACGAUCUCUAGCUGGUUUGAGAGGAUGAUCAGCCACACUGGGACUGAGACACGGCCCAGACUCCUACGGGAGGCAGCAGUGGGGAAUAUUGCACAAUGAGCGAAAGCUUGAUGCAGCCAUACCGCGUGUGUGAAGAAGGCCCGAGGGUUGUAAAGCACUUUCAAUUGUGAGGAAGAUAGAGUAGUUAAUACCUGCUUUGUUUGACGUUAACUUUAGAAGAAGCACCGGCUAACUCUGUGCCAGCAGCCGCGGUAAUACAGAGGGUGCAAGCGUUAUUCGGAAUUACUGGGCGUAAAGCGCGCGUAGGCGGAUUAUUAAGUCAGUUGUGAAAGCCCUGGGCUCAACCUAGGAACUGCAUCUGAUACUGGUAAUCUAGAGUUUAGGAGAGGGAAGUGGAAUUCCAGGUGUAGCAGUGAAAUGCGUAGAUAUCUGGAGGAACAUCAGUGGCGAAGGCGACUUCCUGGCCUAAAACUGACGCUGAGGUGCGAAAGCGUGGGUAGCGAACGGGAUUAGAUACCCCGGUAGUCCACGCCGUANACGAUGUCAACUAGUUGUUGGUCCUAUUAAAAGGAUUAGUAACGAAGCUAACGCGAUAAGUUGACCGCCUGGGGGAGUACGGGUCGCAAGAUUAAAACUCAAAGGAAUUGACGG
rnacentral:rRNA from 1 species